CGAUCAUCUAGUUAUCUGCAGAUUACUAAAUCAAAAUGGGAAAACUUCUCGUUGUAUUAACUGUUCUCUGCAUGGUGGCCCUGACGACUGCCUGGUUUCCUUUUGGAAACAAACAAUGCGACUAUCAACGCGUAUGUUAUCAUAAUUCCCAUUGUUACCGAGGCGAAUUUUGUGAAAUGAUGCCCUACUAUCCACAGGGGCAAGGGUACUGCUGCCAUCCCCUUCGUCAUAGACGGUCUUAUUAGGACAAAAAAUGGAAAAAAGCAGAUCACUGGCUAAUGGACACAGCAGCCUGUAGUUUUAAAGAAAAACAGCUUGAAUGAUCGAUGUUCAAGCAAUUUAUAAUUGAAGUAUUUAAAUAAAAUCUUUCAUCUAAUUUUAA